rnacentral:rRNA from 1 species
AUUGAACGCUGGCGGCAUGCCUUACACAUGCAAGUCGAACGGCAGCGCGGACUUCGGUCUGGCGGCGAGUGGCGAACGGGUGAGUAAUACAUCGGAACGUACCCUGUUGUGGGGGAUAACUAGUCGAAAGAUUAGCUAAUACCGCAUACGACCUGAGGGUGAAAGUGGGGGACCGCAAGGCCUCACGCAGCAGGAGCGGCCGAUGUCUGAUUAGCUAGUUGGUGGGGUAAAGGCCCACCAAGGCGACGAUCAGUAGCUGGUCUGAGAGGACGAUCAGCCACACUGGAACUGAGACACGGCCCAGACUCCUACGGGAGGCAGCAGUGGGGAAUUUUGGACAAUGGGGGAAACCCUGAUCCAGCAAUGCCGCGUGUGUGAAGAAGGCCUUCGGGUUGUAAAGCACUUUUGUCCGGAAAGAAAUCGCGCUGGUUAAUACCUGGCGUGGAUGACGGUACCGGAAGAAUAAGCACCGGCUAACUACGUG